rnacentral:rRNA from 1 species
UACGGAGGGUGCGAGCGUUGUCCGGAAUCACUGGGCGUAAAGCGCGCGUAGGCGGACCUGCAAGUCGGGGGUGAAAGCCCGAGGCUCAACCUCGGAACUGCCUUCGAUACUGCGGGUCUCGAGUCCGGGAGAGGUGAGUGGAAUUCCUAGUGUAGAGGUGAAAUGCGUAGAUAUCUGGAGGAACACCGGUGGCGAAGGCGGCAUCCUGGACCGAGAUUGACGCUGAGGCGCGAAAGCCAGGGGAGCAAACGGG